rnacentral:lncRNA from 1 species
CAGCAGCUCAGGUCCAAGGGACUGGGUAUAACUGGGGUUCUGACCCUGGGGACAAGGUACCAUCUUGGUUCUGGGAAACCAUGGUGCUCCAGAGGUUUGGUUCCCCAGGACCAAGGCACAGCUGCAAAAUUGGGACCCAGAAACACCAGGGAAUAGUGGCACCUGGGGGUCUAGGGAAUAAACUACCAUAUAGUAACGAUUCUGGGAUGAUGGGACACAGCAGUGGUUCAUGCUCUGUGAGGUGAAGUGCAGCAGCCUUAAGAACCCAAGAGUGGGUUGGGGAUGCUGUGACUUGGGUCCUAGGUGGCAUGGAGCAGUUCGGCAAUGACUCCAUUGCCUGGAGAAGUAGCUCAGACUGUGGAGAGCUAGUCCAGUUCCAGGUUGGCAAGCUGUCUUGGAGGUCAGGGUGACAAAACUUGGCCAAGGCUUAGAUUUCUUGAGUUGGGAGGUGUCAUAUCUGCUCAGCCUCAGAAAUCACAGCUAUUUGGAUCCCUUAAGGGAGAUGGUGCUGCAUCUGCUGUGGUGCUAAGAGGUGCAAUUGCUCCUGUGUUCUAGAGGCUUGGAGCCCCCAGAGGUGGCCAUAGCCUUAUUUGUAGUGGGUGGGAGACUGUUUUUAAGUGCAGGAGGCCUGAGAUCCCCAAGGGGUAGGGCGCUGUAUCAGCUACGAUGCUAGGGGUAGGGUGUGACUAUUCCAACGUGCAGGAGGCCUGGGGUCCUGGGGGAUGAAGUACUGCCUUGGCUGUGGUGCUGGGGUGUGACAACUCCAGUAGCUCAAAACUUGGGGUUCCCAGUAGCAGGGUACCACUUCAGCUUGGCCCUAGGGGGAUGGUGCACUAGGACAGUGCUGGGACUGGGAUAGGUGGAGAACAAAAGCUAUAUGGCAGCGUGGCCCUAAAGCAUAAUAAUUAGCAGCUUUGCUUGGGGAUGACAUGCUACUGGGUGGGUAUGGUGCAGUGGUGGUUGAGCCUCAGGGAUGGGGGAAUGCAAUGGCUACUCUCCACUAGAACAGGGCGCACUCUACAAGUGGCUCUGGUUCUAAGAUGGUAAAGAACAAUAGCAGCACAGGAAGAGGACAGCAUCUGCUCCCCUGUGAAGUAGCUCAGUGCUUAGAGUCCAGCAAGGCUCAGAGCCUCUGAGGCUCCCGGAGUUUCCAUUAGUAAAGAUGGUAGGUGUUGAUGAUGGCAUGGACUUCUAGGGUCCUCUCGCUUACUGUUUCCCUGCAGGGAGAAGGUCCUCCUGGUUCUGAGCUGAUCCCAAAUGGGUGGAUGCGGUGUUGGAGGCAAUGUAUUUCCUUCCUUUCUCAGUGGGUUUCUGUUUCCUUUUUGCUCCUCUCUAGUGCUCUUUUUUAGUUAAUUUGGAUGAAAUGUCGUUGAAAAAUGCUAGGAACUUCUAGCUGACCAUCUUGCUGACACCAGCCCCUGGAGCUAAUCUUUGUAUAAGGUAGGAGUUAGGGGUUCUGAGCUAUUUUUUUAGACUUUAAAAAAUGCAAACAUUUUAAAGAUUUAGUAGCCAUGUCACGUACAUUCUCAAAAAUAGUAGGCAGAUCAAUAUUAAUGCAUAUCAAAC